UGCAGUCGACGGUAACAGGUCUUCGGAUGCUGACGAGUGGCGAACGGGUGAGUAAUAUAUCGGAACGUGCCCAGUCGUGGGGGAUAACGCAGCGAAAGCUGUGCUAAUACCGCAUACGAUCUAUGGAUGAAAGCGGGGGAUCGCAAGACCUCGCGCGAUUGGAGCGGCCGAUAUCAGAUUAGGUAGUUGGUGGGGUAAAGGCCCACCAAGCCAACGAUCUGUAGCUGGUCUGAGAGGACGACCAGCCACACUGGAACUGAGACACGGUCCAGACUCCUACGGGAGGCAGCAGUGGGGAAUUUUGGACAAUGGGCGCAAGCCUGAUCCAGCAAUGCCGCGUGCAGGAUGAAGGCCUUCGGGUUGUAAACUGCUUUUGUACGGAACGAAAAGGCUCUGGUUAAUACCUGGGGCUCAUGACGGUACCGUAAGAAUAAGCACCGGCUAACUACGUGCCAGCAGCCGCGGUAAUACGUAGGUGCAAGCGUUAAUCGGAAUUACUGGCGUAAAGCGUGCGCAGCGGUUAUAUA
rnacentral:rRNA from 1 species